rnacentral:rRNA from 1 species
CAGCCGCCGCGGGAAUACGUAGGGUGCAAGCGUUGUCCGGAAUUAUUGGGCGUAAAGAGCUCGUAGGCGGUUUGUCGCGUCUGCUGUGAAAUCCCGAGGCUCAACCUCGGGCUUGCAGUGGGUACGGGCAGACUAGAGUGCGGUAGGGGAGAUUGGAAUUCCUGGUGUAGCGGUGGAAUGCGCAGAUAUCAGGAGGAACACCGAUGGCGAAGGCAGAUCUCUGGGCCGUAACUGACGCUGAGGAGCGAAAGCGUGGGGAGCGAACAGGAUUAGAUACCCCUGUAGUCCCUGUCUCUUAUAC